CCAAUCCUGUUAAAGCCCCAGGCUAAAAUUGUAGAAGUAGGUGUAGUCUAGUUCUGCAAUAAUGCUCGCUCUGGUACAUAUAGGAGAGAGUAAAAGGCAGCAUUCUCAAAAUGAGACGAGGACGGACCUCUUUCUUAAUGUCCAUUGUCUUUUGUCUCACGAUGCAGUGCAACACAU